rnacentral:misc_RNA from 1 species
UCUUAAUGUAUAUAUAGGGGGGUACCCAGAGAGGAUCCGUCGUGGCGACAGACUAGCGUCAAGCCCCCCAACUAGUCACGAGUCCCUAUCCUUGAGACGGAUCAGCCGGUGAGUGAUCGUGUUCCAAAUUUUUGGGGCACAUCUUGGUAUGCUCGAGACGAAAAGAAAAAAAUUGGUGAUCGGUUACCUAAUGAGAAUACAUUGAAUGGAUUGUGGCCUAUAAAGAUCAGUAGCAAAUUAUCAAGCCCCCCACCUAGUCACGUGUCCCAAAGCUUGGGGCACACGGUAUGGUUGAGAUGGAUUGUGUUCAAAAUUUUUGGGGCACAUGUUGGUAUGCUCGAGACGAAUUCUUGGUUGGUGAUCGGUUACCUAGUGAGAAUACAUUGAAUGGAUUGCGGCCUAUAAAGAUCAGUAGCAAAUUAUCAAGCCCCCCACCUAGUCACGUGUCCCAUAGCUUGGGGCACACGGUAUGGUUGAGAAGGAUCCGUCGGUGGGUGAUCGUGUUCCAAAUUUUUGGGGCACAUGUCGGUAUGCUUGAGACGAAUUCAUGGUUGGUGAUCUGGUGCCUAGUGAGAAUAUAUUGAAUGGAAUGCGGCCUAUAAAGAUCAGUUGCAUAUUGUGAUUUGUUGUCUAGCGUCCCUAUGGUUACUUCGCAUGUCCCGAUGCUUGUCUAUAACAAAGCUAGGCUUCAAGACGGUUGGUUAGUGAUUGGUUACCUAGUGAUAAUAUACUGAAUGGAUUGUUGAGGGUUGGAAACAUGGACGUACAAACACCAAUCGGCCUUUGUCCCGAUUGCUGAGUGUUAUGUGCUUGAUGUUGAAGAUUCUUGGCGUCUUUGAUGUAUGUUACAUAGAUAAUCAGUUGCUUCGUGGCAUAAUAGAGCUAAUCAGUUGCCUUGCAACCUAGCACUUUUGUCUUAGAUUUCAUUGAGGCAUGGUGAUCAUAGGGAUGGGAAGGUGGCUUUCAAGAAUUUUCGCAUCGUUCGGUUCAUUUUGGGGGCUAUUUUGGCUUUUGGUUGCCUACAUGGUGAUUGUGCUAUGUUGGUGGCUAAUUGUUGGAUGGUCUCUGAGUAUGUAGGCCGUAAAGGUGCAUGAGUGGUGUUUGGUUUGUUAUG